rnacentral:rRNA from 1 species
AGAGUUUGAUCCUGGCUCAGGAUGAACGCUAGCGGCAGGCCUAACACAUGCAAGUCGAGGGGUAACAUGGUCUUCGGACUGAUGACGACCGGCGCACGGGUGCGUAACGCGUAUGCAAUCUACCCUUAUCUGGAGAAUAGCCCGAAGAAAUUCGGAUUAAUGCUCCAUAGUAUUUAAAAGUGGCAUCACUUUAAAAUUAAAGCUUCGGCGGAUAAGGAUGAGCAUGCGUCCUAUUAGUUAGUUGGUGAGGUAACGGCUCACCAAGGCAGCGAUAGGUAGGGGGCCUGAGAGGGUGAUCCCCCACACUGGUACUGAGACACGGACCAGACUCCUACGGGAGGCAGCAGUGAGGAAUAUUGGUCAAUGGACGAAAGUCUGAACCAGCCAUGCCGCGUGCAGGACGACGGCCCUACGGGUUGUAAACUGCUUUUAUAUGGGAAUAAACCCUCGAACGUGUUCGAGGCUGAAGGUACCAUACGAAUAAGGAUCGGCUAACUCCGUGCCAGCAGCCGCGGUAAUACGGAGGAUCCAAGCGUUAUCCGGAUUCAUUGGGUUUAAAGGGUCCGCAGGCGGGAUACUAAGUCAGUGGUGAAAGCCUCCAGCUCAACUGGGGAAUUGCCAUUGAUACUGGUAUUCUUGAGUAUAGUUGAAGUGGGCGGAAUGAGUCAUGUAGCGGUGAAAUGCAUAGAUAUGACUCAGAACACCGAUUGCGAAGGCAGCUCACUAAACUAUUACUGACGCUCAGGGACGAAAGCGUGGGGAGCAAACAGGAUUAGAUACCCUGGUAGUCCACGCUGUAAACUAUGAUCACUCGCUGUUGGCGAUAUACUGUCAGCGGCUUAGCGAAAGCAUUAAGUGAUCCA